rnacentral:rRNA from 1 species
UACGUAGGUGGCAAGCGUUGUCCGGAUUUACUGGGUGUAAAGGGCGCGUAGGCGGGUAGACAAGUCAGAUGUGAAAUACCGCAGCUUAACUGCGGAGCUGCAUUUGAAACUGCCUAUCUUGAGUAUCGGAGAGGCAGGCAGAAUUCCUAGUGUAGCGGUGAAAUGCGUAGAUAUUAGGAGGAACACCAGUGGCGAAGGCGGCCUGCUGGACGACAACUGACGCUGAGGCGCGAAAGCGUGGGGAG